UGUACUAUGUUAUAUCUAAUGUUUCCUAACUUUAUCUUCUUUAGCGUCACUUCUAUUUCCUCAUAUAGCGCAGUAGAUACUAAGGUAUUAAAGUUCCAAUGUGGUGGAUCUUUGUAGGUUUUUUUCUCUGCAUCAUAAAAUGUUUUUGAGGCAAUGCUACACGUAAUCUUCCAUCCCUAAUGUUCUGCAUAUUUUUUUUGUAAUCUCUAAAGGUGUUGCCCUUGCCUACCGUAUCUCCCCAUCUGACAAGAAGCUCAAAUGUGUGGUGGCUGAGGUCAACACUUCUACAGCUCUGUCAUGGCCUGGCCUUUGCCUUGGGUUCUCAAAAGCUGUGCGAGCUCAAGGUAGACUCUGAUGAUAAUAGAGAGAAGCAGAUGGCCCUGGAGAUGACAGAUAGCUGAUGACAAGCAGAUGGUAGCAGAGAGCAACUCAGCGACCACGAUACCAGUGAAGACAACAAGAGGAGAAAAUGCAUUGAAGAGCAAACAGGCAGUGCUCAACAGAGAUGACACAACCAGCAAAGAAAAGCAAAGAGCUGCAGAAGGUCAACAUCAGAGAAAACUGAUAGCUUUGCAGUAUUAUGAUGGGAGUUGCCUCAGACACACCACAAGCCUGUUCUCUGGAUAUACAGUCCUGGCACAUGCCCCUUCUGUAUUCUCUGGUGCACAUGUUCCCUCUGGGUAUGACUUCCAAGUUUGUUUUAUGGUCACAUUUA